rnacentral:hammerhead_ribozyme from 1 species
AUCCAUCUGACGAGUUCCAGUUAGGAGGAAGCGCACGUCCUGGAU